AUUGAACGCUGGCGGCAGGCUUAACACAUGCAAGUCGAGCGGGGUGAUGGUGCUUGCACUAUCACUUAGCGGCGGACGGGUGAGUAAUGCUUAGGAAUCUGCCUAUUAGUGGGGGACAACAUCUCGAAAGGGAUGCUAAUACCGCAUACGUCCUACGGGAGAAAGCAGGGGAUCACUUGUGACCUUGCGCUAAUAGAUGAGCCCAAGGCGGAUUAGCUAGUUGGUGGGGUAAAGGCCUACCAAGGCGACGAUCUGUAGCGGGUCUGAGAGGAUGAUCCGCCACACUGGGACUGAGACACGGCCCAGACUCCUACGGGAGGCAGCAGUGGGGAAUAUUGGACAAUGGGGGGAACCCUGAUCCAGCCAUGCCGCGUGUGUGAAGAAGGCCUUAUGGUUGUAAAGCACUUUAAGCGAGGAGGAGGCUCUUUUGGUUAAUACCCAAGAUGAGUGGACGUUACUCGCAGAAUAAGCACCGGCUAACUCUGUGCCAGCCGCCGCGGUAA
rnacentral:rRNA from 1 species